rnacentral:tRNA from 1 species
GGGCUAGUAGAUCAACGGUAGAUCGCCUUCUUGGCGUGGAGGAGGCUGGGGGUUCAAAUCCCUCCUAGUCCA